rnacentral:rRNA from 1 species
GAUGAACGCUGGCGGCGUGCCUAAUACAUGCAAGUCGAGCGAACGGACGAGGAGCUUGCUUCUCUGAUGUUAGCGGCGGACGGGUGAGUAACACGUGGAUAACCUACCUAUAAGACUGGGAUAACUUCGGGAAACCGGAGCUAAUACCGGAUGACAUGUUGAACCGCAUGGUUCAACAGUGAAAGACGGUCUUGCUGUCACUUAUAGAUGGAUCCGCGCUGCAUUAGCUAGUUGGUAAGGUAACGGCUUACCAAGGCAACGAUGCGUAGCCGACCUGAGAGGGUGAUCGGCCACACUGGAACUGAGACACGGUCCAGACUCCUACGGGAGGCAGCAGUAGGGAAUCUUCCGCAAUGGGCGAAAGCCUGACGGAGCAACGCCGCGUGAGUGAUGAAGGUCUUCGGAUCGUAAAACUCUGUUAUUAGGGAAGAACAAAUGUGUAAGUAACUGUGCACGUCUUGACGGUACCUAAUCAGAAAGCCACGGCUAACUACGUG